ACAGAGGUGGCUAGCGUUGUUCGGAUUCAUUGGGUGUAAAGGGUGCGUAGGCGGUUUAGAAAGUUAAAUGUGAAAGCCCACAGCUCAACUGUGGAAAUGCAUUUAAAACUCCUAGACUAGAGUGCGAGAGAGGUGAAGGGAAUUCCCGGUGUAAGGGUGAAAUCUGCAGAGAUCGGGAGGAACACCAGUAGCGAAGGCGCUUCACUGGCUCGUAACUGACGCUGAGUGCACGAAGGUAUGGGGAGCAAACGGGA
rnacentral:rRNA from 1 species